UACGAAGGGUGCAAGCGUUACUCGGAAUUACUGGGCGUAAAGGGUGCGUAGGUGGUUGUUUAAGUCUGCUGUGAAAGCCCCGGGCUCAACCUGGGAAUGGCAGUGGAUACUGGACAGCUAGAGUGCGGUAGAGGGUAGUGGAAUUCCCGGUGGUAGCAGUGAAAUGCGUAGAGAUCGGGAGGAACACCAGUGGCGAAGGCGGCUACCUGGACCAGCACUGACACUGAAGCACGAAAGCGUGGGAGCAAACAGG
rnacentral:rRNA from 1 species